AACUAAACCUUGUUCCUAAGUACUAGUGCCGCAGGAGCGUUUUGUAGUAUCUCCUGCUGCCUAAGUGCUUAUCAAUGAGGGUUUA
rnacentral:pre_miRNA from 1 species